rnacentral:rRNA from 1 species
UACGAGUGCCCCAAGCGUUAUCCGGAAUCAUUGGGCGUAAAGGGUGUGUAGGUGGUUGUGUUAGUCUUCUGUUAAAUUCUUCGGCUUAACCGGGGGCAUGCAGAGGAAACGGCACAACUAGAGGAUGCGAGAGGUGAACGGAACUCAUGGAGUAGGGGUGAAAUCCGUUGAUAUCAUGGGGAACACCAAAAGCGAAGGCAGUUCACUGGCGCACUCCUGACACUGAGACACGAAAGCGUAGGUAGCGAAUGGG